rnacentral:rRNA from 1 species
GUGGGGAAUAUUGGACAAUGGGCGCAAGCCUGAUCCAGCCAUGCCGCGUGAGUGAUGAAGGCCUUAGGGUUGUAAAGCUCUUUUGUCCGGGAAGAUAAUGACUGUACCGGAAGAAUAAGCCCCGGCUAACUUCGUGCCAGCAGCCGCGGUAAUACGAAGGGGGCUAGCGUUGUUCGGAAUCACUGGGCGUAAAGCGCACGUAGGCGGACCAUUAAGUCAGGGGUGAAAGCCUGGAGCUCAACUCCAGAACUGCCUUUGAUACUGAUGGUCUCGAGUAUGGAAGAGGUUGGUGGAACUGCGAGUGUAGAGGUGAAAUUCGUAGAUAUUCGCAAGAACACCGGUGGCGAAGGCGCCCAACUGGUCCAUUACUGACGCUGAGGUGCGAAAGCGUGGGGAGCAAACAGGAUUAGAUACCCCAGUAGUCC